rnacentral:lncRNA from 1 species
AUAAAUAAGGAAUAAAAGUAAAAAAAAAAACCCUUCAACAACAUUUUCCUUUCAUUUUCCUUAAAAACCAUUUGAAAAGCUCUCCAAAUUCUCUUGCCCCAUCCAAUUCUUCAGCAACCGGACCAGAGCUUCGUCCCCGUCCGUCGUUUUGCCGUCGUCGUUGGCCAUCACGUGCAGUGGCCGAAGUUAAAAAAGUAAGUUUUUUUUUUGUAUUUUUAUUCUUUUUAACAGAUAUACAUAGUAAAGAGUGGUCAAAUCCAAAAAAGAAACGAAAAAAAAGAAGAAAAAAGAAAAGAAUCAAAACAACAACCUUGGUAACUUUCGAUUCUACAAAAUUGCCUUGUAUGUUUGCUGUCUUCCCGAUUUGUGUGACCGUCUGAGUUCGAUCUCUGCUUUUAUUUCUUUUGGGUAUUUAAAAUCUUGGUAUUUGGUGUUAAAUCUUGUGUUUGUAUUGAAUCCAUCUUUUUUUUUUUGCCUUGUUACAAUCUUUGGCUUUUAUAGCCUUUAUUUUUACAGGUACAAAAAUGAAAUUAUGGCGAACGUGGAGCCAUUGGAGCUGACAUGGGUGAAAGGCGACGUGGGGGAAACCGACGUGGGCGUGCGAACUUGGAGGACGUGCGUGGGAAGGCUUACGGCGGCUGCAACAGAAAAGGGUGUUAGGGUUUUUCUUUUCUUUUUGAUUUAGGGUUAAAUAUUUAGGUCUGGUUAAUUUAAGGCUUGGGUAAUUUGGGCUUCAAAAUUGGGUUAAUUUUAUUUUGUUUUUGAUUUGAUUUUUGGUCUAUUUUUGGUCUUUGGGGUUUCUUUUUGGUUUAAAAAUUUAGGCUUUAAUGGUAAAUAGGCCUGGGCAAAAAUUUGUAACGCCCCCUUACCCGAGACCGUCGCCGGAGUCGAGCACGAGGCAUUACUAAACUUAUUUGAGCACUUAAACAAAUUCGGACAAGCUGUCCAACUGCGUCAUAGUUGCUUAAAAAUUCAUAUCUCGAGUUUCGAAACUCGAAAUCAAAUUCUGUAAAAUUUUCAUUAAACUAAACUCAUAUAUAUAUCUACUAAUUUUUUUCUAGAAUUUUUGGUUGGGCCAAUUAGUACAGUUUAUUAGUUAAAGUCUCCCCUGUUUUAGGGUUUGACUGCUCUGACCUCUGUGUAUUACGAAUCAGAUAUCUCCCUGUACAGAGUUUCAAUGACUAUGCCAUUUGUUUAUAAUAAAACUAAACUCAAUAAGGAAUCUGUAAAUAUAAAUAAUAACUUCUAAUUAUCUUUGUACAAUUUAUGGUGAAUUUCCAAAGUCAGAACAGGGGAUCUAGAAAUCGCUCUGGCCCUGUUUCACAAAAAUUUAAACUUCUCAUAAAAUAUAACUCAUAUACCUGUUUUGUUCCAUCCAUAUGAAAAUAGACUAAUAAUUAUUCAAUUCCAUAUUUUAUUCAUCAUCUAAUUGUAUCUCUACUAUUUUUAAUGAUUUUUCAAACUCACAUCACUGCUGCUGUCUGAAUCUAUUUUAUGGUAAAUUUUGCCUAUUUCAUGAUUUCCAUGGAUUAGCUAGCAAUUUAGCAUACAUAACACCAAAUAUGAUCAUGAUUAGCCAUUCCAAUGGCUAAUCAUUACCAAGCAUUUCCAUACCACUCAAUAUCUAUAUCAUAAGACCAUAUAUACAAAAUGAUUAUAAUGCUAUACAUGCCAUACUCAAAAUAUACAAGCCAUUAUGCCAAGAUGGUAUACGGAUGUGUGAGUGGGCCUCCGACCGUUCCCGAUUUCCGAGCUGGCUUGUCAAAACUACAAGGAAUGAAAAGGAGGGAGUAAGCAUAAAUGCUUAGUAAGUACAUAUGAAAUUAAUAAGCAAUUACCAACAUGCUUUUAAGAUAAAACACCACAAUUGUACAAUUAUACAUACUCAGCUUAAACUGUUUUAUCAAGAUACAUUUAAUAAAUAAUUUAUUUCUGGAGCUACGAAACUCCAAUUUAAGUUCUGUUAAUUUUUCUUGAAACUAGAUUCAUAUACCUUUCUCCCAUAAAAUUUCCAGAAUUUUUGGUUUAACCAUUUAGUACAGUUUAUUCAUUAAAGUUUUUCCUGUUUCGCUGUCCAACAGUUCUGAUAUCUCUUCACUAAAAAUUAUUUAUCUCAUAAUUCGGGACUUGGAUGAUGUUCCCGUCUAUCCCUCUUGAAAAUAGUCUCGAUAAGGAUUUUAAAUAUAUAAAUUAAAACUCAUAAUUAUUUUUUUACAAUUUCUAAUGAUUUUCUAAAAUCAGAACAGGGGAUCUCGAAGUCAUUCAAACUCUAUCUCACAACAAUUUAAAUAUCUUAUAACAUAAAAUCCAAUUGCAUGGACCGUUUCCUCUAUAUGAAACUAGACUCAUCAGGCUUUAAUCUCAUAUUUUAUUCAGCCCUUAACUCAAUUUCCACAAUUUAUGGUGAAUUUCAAAAGAUACACUACUGCAGUAACCCAAAACUGCCAAGGCCAUAUUUAUUCAUUCACCACUAUUAUUCACUAAAUCCAUACAAUAUCAUUUCAUCCAUCAUGGUAAGAACACAUAAUUAUGCUUCAUAAGCAUAGAUCCAUAAUCUCAAUGUCAUCAAGUAUCAAGAACUUAUUCCAAAUCGUGUCAUUUUCAUAGUAUUCACCAAUUCUUAAUCUUUUCGGCCCAUUUUACAUUUUCGUUCAUAAUCAAAUUAAGGAACGAUUACGGAAUUGAGUACCUCAUUAUCACAAUGCCAUAGUAAAACUAUGGUCUUGCACAUAGUCACAUAUCACAUACCGAGGCCAUAGCCCAGCCAUGGUCUUACACGGAUCACAUAUCACACUGAUGCCAUAUCCCAGAUAUGGUCUUAUACAGUAGCACAUAUCACACCGAUGCCAUAUCCCGGAUAUGGUCUUAUACUGAAGCACAUAUCACAUUUCUCCGAAGCCAUAGCCCAGCUAUGGUCUUAUACGGAAAUCACAUUUCACAUGCUGCCAUGGUCCAACCAUGGUCUUUUCCGUCAAUUCGUCUUAGCCACUGAAUGAAAGUACUCAAAUCCGUUGUUCCAUUUAAUUUGUACUUUUAUUCAAAUAUCAUUUUACAAUUAUCACAGUUUAAUGACAUUUUAUAUGCAAUAAUAUACUAUAUCAUUCAUGAAAUUUUCAUUUCAAAACAUUAAAUUACACAUUGCAUUAUUAAAAAUCAUAUGAACUUACCUCGAUAUAAAAUAUUAGCAAUCGAGCCUAUUCCUCGUAAACUUUAUUUUUCCCUCGAUCACGACUUGAAUCUCGUUUCUCUUGAUCUAUAAUAUAAAUUAUUUCUACUCAUUAGCAUUUAUUUGAUUUCUAUUUCACUUCACAAUUUAUGCUGUUUAAAUUUUGAAAUUGCACUUUUACCCCAAAAUUUAUAGUUUUUACAAUUUAGUCCCUACUCAAUUCACCCAUAAAUUGAACUAAUUUUUCUCAAUUAACACUUUAUUUUAUCAUUAUAAACUAUUUCACAACCUUUUAUAUUCUGAAUUUCAACACCAACAUCUAAUUCACAAUUUUUUUCACAAUUAGGUCCUAAAUACCAUUUUCUAUCAAAAUGACUUAAUAAAACAACCUUAAUAUGAAAUUAGAACUUCAAUUUCAUAAUAAUUCAUCAUAAACUGCCCUUACUCAGCCAGGGGAACUUCCAAUUUCAUCCACCAAAUCAAAAACUAAUGAAUUAGAUGAUUGAACCUAAUUGUAAAAGUUACAAAAACAUAAAAAUUACUAAGAAAAAGUAAAAAUUGAACUUACAUGGUGCAAAAAUAUGAAAAACCAGCAUAGGAGACCUGCUACGGCGUUUCUGGCUGAGAAAGAUGAAGAAAUGUCUAGAUUUUUUAGUUACAUCAUUAUUUAAUUACUAACUUUUAUGCUAUUUCUAAUUUUGCCCCUUGUUCACAUUGUUUUCUUGCUUAUUUCAUACCCAAACCGUCCAGCCAUUAACCUUUGGGUCUAAUUGCUCUUUAAAUCCAUAUUUUUAAAUACUUAAGCUAUUUACUCACAAUUUAACAAAUUUUGCGCUAUUUUCAAUUUAGUCCUUUUCACCUAAUUAAUUACCGAAACCUUAAAAUUUCUUGACGAAACUUGAAUACUAACUUAUUUACACUCCAUAAAUAUUUCUAAAAAUAUUUAUGGCUCGGUUUAUGAAUUUGAGGUCUCGAUACCUCGUUUUUAUUCCGUUUUAUCUACAACUUCCUAUACUACAUAAUUUCAUUUAAUAUCCAAAUGACCAAAAUGCCCUUACUACUAAACUUUCCAAAAAUUUUCCAUCCAUGUCCAAUUUUUGUCCAUAUACUUACAAAUUGGUCAAAUUGCUCUGUAAGGACCUCUAAUUAAUAAUAUAAUUCAAUUUUAUGCAAAAUGCUUCUAGAACACAAGUUUUGCAAUUUAUUCAAUUUAGUCCCUAAUUUCAAAUUAAGCACUUUAUGCAUAGAAUUUCUUCACGAAAUUUUCACACAAUCAUGCAAUCAUAUCAUAGACCUCAAAAUAAUUAUAUAAAAAAAAUUCUUUCUAUCUCAGAUUUGUGGUCUCGAAACCACUAUUCCGACUAGGCCCAAAAUCAGGAUAUUACAAAAUUCGUACCCACAGCUGCCCCUCUUUGCUCGUUGUUUGUGUAACGAGAACGAAGCAAAGACAUUAAAGAGCCAAUUUUGCCCGGUCUUGCUGAUUCCUGACUCCUUGUUGUUCAUCUUGCUCAAGUAGCCAUAUUCCAUCCCACUGCAUCUUCAGGGGUAUAGGAAUUAACAUUUUCGAUCUACUCCAAUAAGUUUCAGAGAGAAGAGAUUUGUAGCUUCACUCUACUCUACUGACACAUGAAGAAGAUAAUAACUGGUCACUUCAACCUGUUCCACUACUGCUUAGGGACACAAGGUUUGUAUCUUCAACUUGCUCUCUGCAACUUCAGAGAGAUAAGGUUUGCUAUCUUCGAUCUGCUCCACUACUGCUUAGGGAGAUAAGAUCUUGUAAUCCUCCAGCCUUUUACCCUACUGCUUAGGGAGUUAAAGCCUGCUUAUUAUCUUCGAUCUGCUCCACUGCUGCUUAGGGAGAUAAGAUCUGUAAUCUUCAGCUUGCUCCACUGCUGCUCAGGGAGAUAAAGCUUUCCAUUUUCGAUCCGCUCCAUUAUUGCUUAGGGAAAUAGGAUCUGUUUUCAGUCAGUUACCCUAUUGCUUAGGGGUUAAGACUCACCAUCUUUGAUCUGCUCCACUAUUGCUUAGGGAGAUAAAGAUCUGUCAUUUUCUCGCAUAUUACCCUACUACUUAGGGGGUUAAGGCUCAUCGUCUUCGAUCUGCUCCACUACUGCUUAGGGAGAUAAGAUCUGUAAUUCUCGAUCCACUCCACUAUUGCUUAGGGAGAUAGGAUCUGCCGAUAUUUAAUAUGUUCCACUCCUGCCAACGGGAUAAGAUCUGCUAAAAUUUGAUCUGCUCCGCUCCUACUCAACGAAGAUAAGAUCUACCGAAAUUUGAUCUUGUAACGGCCUAAUUUUCAGUGGUGUCGGAAAUGGUGAUUUGAGAUCACUAAAUUCGACAAAUAAGAUUGAACAAGAUAGUAAUUUAAUAUUUAUGAGUCAAGUAAGAAUUUAGAAGAAUUUGUGAAAUGGUGAAAUUAGUGAAUUAAAAGAAUUUAUUAGGUCAAACGGGUCAAAAAUGAGGUAUCGAGACCUCAAAGUUGAAAAUCGAGCUAUAAAUAUUUUUAUAAAUAUUUAUGGAGUGUCAUUGAGUUAGUAUUAAAGUUCCGUUAGAAAAUUUUAACGUUUGGAUGGCUAAUUAAUUAAAAAGGACUAAAUUGAAAAUAGCGCAAAAUUUGUUAAAUUGUGAGUAAAUAGCUUAAGUAUUUAAAAAGAUGGAUUUAAAGAGCAAUUAGACCCAAAGGUUAAUGGCUGGACGGUUUGGGUAUGAAAUAAGCAAUAAAACAAUGUGAACAAGGGGCAAAAUUGGAAAUAGCAUAAAAGUUAAUAGUUAAAUAAUGAUGUAAUUGAAAAAUCUAGACAUUUCUUCAUAUUUUCUCAGCCAAAACGCCAUAGAAGGUCUGGAGAAAGCUGGUUUUUCAUAUUUUUACAUCAUGUGAGUUUAAUUCUUACUUUUCUUGAUAAUUUUUAUGUUUUUAUGACUUUUACAAUUAGGUCCACUUGUAGAAUUCAUUAGUUUUUGAUUUUAUGGGUGAAAUUGGAAGUUACCCUGGAUGGAUAAGGGAAUUUUAUGAUGAAUUAUUAUGAAAUUUAAGUUCUAAUUUCAUCUUAAGGUGAUUUUAUUAAGUGAUUUUGAUAGGAAAUGAUAUUUAGGACCUAAUUGUGAAAAAGUUUUGAAUUGAAGGUUUCUGUUGAAAUUAAGAAUAUAAAAGGUUUUGAAAUAGUUUAUAAUGAUAAAAUAAAGUGUUAAUUGAGAAAAAUUAGUUCAAUUGAUGGGUGAAUUGAGCAGUGACUAAAUUGUGAAAAUUGUAAAUUUUGGGGUAAAAGUGAAAUUUCAAAAUUUGAACAGCAUAAAUUGUGAAGUGAAAUAGAAUUGAAAUGGAUGCUAAUGAAGGAAUGAUUUUAUAAUUAUAGAUCAAGAAAACGAACUGAAUCGUGGAAAGAAGAAAAUUCAAGAAUAAUCCCUGAAUUUCUACGACUUUUGCAAAUUAGUCCAGGUAAGUUCAUAUGGCAAAGUUCAAUGUUUUGAUAUGAAAAUCUUAUGAUUGUUAAAGUAUUUUAUUGUUGAUGAAUACUAUCAAUUUGCAUUAACUAAUGAAUAAUGUGUAACUAAAAGUACAAAUUAGUAGGAACAAUGGAUUUGAGUGCUUCUAUUCUGUGACCCUGAUGAAUUGACGAAAAAUAUGUGAUAAGUGUGCCCGUUUAAGACCAUAGCUGGGCUAUGGCAUCGGUGCAAUGUGAUAAUGUGACUCCGUAUAAGACCAUAGCUGGGCUAUGGCAUCGGUAUAAUGUGAUAAUGUGAUUCCGUAUAAGACUAUGUCUGGGAUAUGGCUUCGGUAUGAUAUGUGAACCGUGUAAGACUAUGGCAAGGCUAUGGCUUCGGUUUGUGAUGCGUAACAAUGUGAAAGUCCAUAGUUUACUAUGGAAAUGUGAUAAUGAAGCACUCAAUUCCCUUAUUGUUCCCUAAUUUGACAAUGAAGUAAAUGAGAAAUGGGCCUAAGGGAGUUAAAUUGUGAGUAGCCAUAUGGAAAUUAUUCCAAUGAGUUAUUAAUGAAAUUGUGAUUUGGAGGAUGAAAUAGUUAAACUAAUAGAUAUAUGAUUGUAUACGAUAUUUGAUAUGAUUUGUAUUUAUAUGCCUAUGAGCUUACUAAGCUUCAAUAAGCUUACUUGUGUGUGUUUAAUAUUUUUAUGUAGAUUGACUUGAAGUGAAGUGGGUAGAUCGGAUCAACACAACAGGCCACACUAUUCAGAUCAAUUCUGGUAGUUUUUGUUUUAUGUUUAAAGAUUUAUAUGGCAUGUAUAGAGUUUGAAUGAAUUGAAGUAAAGAUGUUAUGAACUAGUUAACAAUAUUUGUACUAAAACAGUUUUUGGUAAGUAGCAGUAGUUUGACUUUGAAAAUUCACCAUAAAUUGUGGAAAUUGAGUUAAGGGCUGGAAAAAAAAUGAGAUUAAAUCCUAACGAGUCUAGUUUCAUAUAGAGGAAACGGUGCAUGCAAUUGGAUUUUAUGUUAUGAGAUAUUUAAAUUGUAGUGAGACAGAGUCUGAAUGACUUCGAGUUCCCCUGUUUUGAUUUUAGAAAAUCAUUAAAAAUUGUAAAAAAAUAAUUAUGAGUCAUACUGUAUAUGUAUGGAUUCCUCAUUGGGUCUAUUUUUAAGAGAAACAAACGGCAUGGUUAUUUGAUUUUUGUACAGAGAGAAAUUUGGUUCGUAGUGCACAGGGGUCAAAGUAGCCAAACCCUAAAAUAGGGGAGGAUUUAACUAAUAAACUGUACUAAUUGGACCAACCAAAAAUUAUAAAAAAAUUGGUAAGUAGAUAUAUGAGUAUAAAUUCGGGGAAAAUUUACGGAUUUUGGUUUCGAGUUUUAUAACUCAAGAUAUGAAUUAUUUAGCAACUAUGACGCAGUUGGACAGCUUGUCUGAAAAGUAUGAUAUAAAUUAUCUAAAUUUGGUUAAGUGCUCAAAUAAGUUUAGUAGUGCCUUGUGCUGGACUCCGGAAACGGUCUCGGGUAAGGGGCGUUACAUUUAUUGGUAUCAGAGCUUCGGUUUAGCCGAUUCUCGGAAUAUGUAUGAUGUGAAAAGUGUCUAGAAUUACAUGCCAUAUAAAUCUGUGAUAGUGUGCUGUGUAUGAUCCGAUCUAAUCGUUGUUUUUAUUAUAGAUUAUCUUCGAUUUGAAAAGAUGUCAGAUAGACCAGAACAAACUGAGCAAGAAGAAGUUAAUAGCAGAGUACAAACCUCUGAACAAGGAACAAGUAGUGAAGCUCCGAUUUCAUUAAUGCGAGAACAAGAACUCAAAAAUAUGAUUUAUGGAUUCAUGAAUCAGUGGUAUAAUGAGAAUGUGCGAGAAAGAAAUCAGACUACACAACCUCCUCCCCCUAUCUUAACAUCUGUAGUACCCCCGGUUGCUCCUCCACCUCCUCCGACAACUGAAUCUGGCAAACGUUCUCCAUUUGAAAAGCUUAGAAAACAUGGGGCUGAAGAAUUUCGGGGAAGAACAGAUGAUGACCCCGUUAAAACUGAAUAUUGGUUACAAAGUAUAAUGAGGGUUUUUAAGCAAAUGGCGUGCUCACCAGAUGAUUACUUAAUAUGUGCCGUGUCAUUAUUGAAAGAAGAAGCUUAUAACUGGUGGGAAACAAUAGAAGCUAUUGUACCGGCUAAGAAGAUCACUUGGGAAUUUUUUCAAAAUGAAUUUAAGAAGAAAUAUGUCGGUAGAAGAUAUCUGGAUAAGAAGAAAAGAGAAUUUCUUGACUUGCGACAGGGAAACAAGUCAGUGGCUGAAUAUGAAAGAGAAUUUGUUUAUCUGAGCAAAUAUGCUCGAGAUAUAGUACCCACAGAAGAAGAAAUGUGUAUCAGAUUUGAAGAAGGGCUUAAUGAUGAGAUUAAAAUGAUGAUAGGGAGCAUUGAGAUACGAGAAUUUGUUGUUCUAUCAGAUCGUGCUCAGAAGUUUGAAGAAGUAUAUAAUAAAAAGAUGCAACGAGAUAGAAGAAGUAAAGAAUCUUUCAAGAGAAGUGCAUCUAAGUCAUUUUCGGCUUUACCAGUGAAGAAAUCUAAAGAGGAAUUCAGUCGAGCCACUUCAGUACCGGAAAGAUCAGGAAAAAGUAGGCCAAGACAAUCUGAUUACAAAGCAUCUGACAGACCUGCUGUUAGUGUGGGUAGUGUACAAAAUACCCAAAGGCCUAAGUGCCAACAUUGUGGAAGAAGUCACCCCGGUGAAUGUAGAAGUAAGUUAGGGGCUUGUUAUAAAUGUGGGGCCACUGAUCACUUUAUUCGUGAUUGUCCCCAAUUACAAGUAGAAGAAGUGGAACAGAGGGAGAAACAUAAAAUUCUUCCUCAAAAAGGAAGACGCUCUGGUCAGAGCAGUGCUACAGGGGCUACUCGUUCGGGUAUGAAAGAUACUGCUAGCCGAUCAGAAGUUAGGGCUCCUGCUCGUACUUAUGCCAUUCGAGCGAGAGAAGAAGCAACAGCUCCAGAUGUAAUUGCUGGUACUUUCUAUCUUUAUGAUGUUCCUGUGUAUGCUUUAAUAGACCCUGGGUUUACUCAUUCAUAUAUUUGCACUAUGUUAGCAUCUGAAAAGAAAUUAUUUGUUGAGCCUACUGAUUAUGAUGUACAAGUUACAAAUCUGUUAGGUCAAAGUGUGGUAGUUAAUUUAAUAUGUCAUAACUGUCCACUGAAAGUUAAGGGCUGUGAUUUCCCCGCUGAUUUGAUGUUGCUACCCUUUCGUGAAUUUGAUAUUAUCUUGGGCAUGGACUGGUUAAUGAAACAUGACGCGGUAGUGAAUUGUCGAGAAAAACGAAUUAGCUUGAAAUGUCAAACAGGAGAUAUUGUUUUGGUUGAGUCUGGGAAUUUGGAUGACAUGGUUAGAAUGAUUUCCUUUAUGUCUGCUCAAAAAUUGUUGCGUAAAGGAAAUGAGGCUUAUUUAGCCUAUAUUCUUGAUACUCGAAGUUCUAAAUCAAAGUUAGAGCAACUAUCUGUUGUAAAUGAAUUCAUGGAUGUAUUUCCUGAAGAAUUACCAGGUUUACCACCCAAUAGAGAAGUUGAGUUCGUGAUAGAUGUGCUUCCAGGAACAGCUCCCAUAUCAGUGACACCGUAUAGAAUGGCUCCAGCAGAAUUAAGAGAGUUAAAAGCGCAGUUGCAAGAACUGUUAGACAAAGGGUUUAUCAAAUCGAGUAUGUCACCAUGGGGUGCACCUGUCUUAUUUGUGAAAAAGAAGGAUGGUUCAUUGAGGCUGUGCAUAGAUUACAGGCAGCUGAAUAAGGUAACAAUUAAAAAUAAAUAUCCUUUGCCUCGUAUUGAUGAUUUAUUCGAUCAGCUUAAGGAUGCUACAAUGUUUUCAAAAAUAGAUCUCAGAUCUGGGUAUUAUCAGUUAAAGGUAAAGGAAUGUGAUGUACCGAAAACAGCUUUUAGAACUCGGUAUGGUCAUUAUGAGUUCUUAGUUAUGCCAUUCGGUUUGACAAAUGCUCCUGUUGCUUUUAUGGAUUUAAUGAAUCGAAUUUUCCAGUCUUACCUGGAUAGAUUUGUGGUUGUGUUUAUUGACGAUAUACUGAUCUAUUCAAAGACAGAAUCCGAGCAUACUCAGCACUUGAGAAUUGUACUACAGAUAUUAAGGGAAAAACAGUUAUAUGCAAAAUUUAGUAAAUGUGAAUUUUGGCUUCAUAAAGUGGGAUUCUUGGGUCACAUUGUGUCAGUUGAUGGUAUACGGGUAGAUCCGAGUAAGGUGUCAGCGGUGAUUAAUUGGAAAACUCCAAAGAAUGUUACGGAAGUGCGAAGUUUUCUUGGAUUAGCUGGUUACUAUCGUCGAUUUGUGAAAGAUUUUUCACUGAUUGCUUCACCGAUAACUAAAUUAUUACAGAAGAAUGUUGAGUUUGUAUGGUCUGAUGAGUGCCAACAAAGUUUUGAUCAAUUAAAGAAAAUGUUGACAGAGGCUCCGGUGUUAACUCAGCCUGAAUCAGGUGUGCCAUAUGUAGUAUAUAGUGAUGCGUCUCUGAAUGGUUUAGGUUGUGUAUUGAUGCAGUCAGGAAAAGUUGUAGCAUAUGCUUCUCGACAGUUGAAACCACAUGAGAGGAACUACCCUACACAUGAUCUUGAAUUAGCUGCCAUAGUAUUUGCUUUAAAAAUUUGGAGACACUACCUAUAUGGAGAGAAAUGUUAUAUGUAUACAGACCAUAAAAGUUUGAAAUAUUUAAUGUCGCAGAAAGAGCUGAAUUUGAGACAGAGGCGAUGGUUAGAGCUGUUGAAAGAUUACGAUCUUAUCAUUGAUUAUCAUCCGGGUAAGGCAAAUGUAGUGGCAGAUGCACUUAGUUGGAAAUCAUCAUUAUUUGCUCUUCGAGCGUUAAAUGCUCAUUUGUCUGUUAAUGAAAAUGGUUCUAUAUUAGCUGAAUUAAAGACAAAACCAAUAUUCUUUCAACGAAUUGAAUUGCAAGAUGAAGAUCCGAAGUUGGUGUUGAAAUGACAAAUGGUUCGGGAUAAUUUGAACUUAGAUUACUCUAUUGAUAAUAGUGGUAUGUUAUACCAUCGUAAUAGAAUUUGUGUCCCGAAUAAUCUAGAAUUGAAGAAGGAUAUCUUAUCAGAGGCUCAUAGUAGUAUGUACUCGAUUCAUCCGGGUAGUACGAAGAUGUAUUGUGAUUUGAAAAAUAUGUAUUGGUGGCCUGGUAUGAAAUGGGAAAUUUGUGAAUUUGUGGCAAAAUGUUUAAUCUGUCAACAGGUAAAAGCUGAACAUCAAGUGCCUACAGGUUUGUUACAACCCGUAAUGAUUCCAGAAUGGAAGUGGGAACAUGUGACGAUGGAUUUUGUAUCUGGAUUGCCAGUGACUCCGAAGAAAAAAGAUUCGAUUUGGGUGAUAGUAGACAGAUUCACUAAAUCGGCGCAUUUUAUUCCGGUCAGAACAGAUUUUUCACUUGAUAAGUUAGCGGAAUUAUAUGUGUCAGAAAUUGUGAGAUUACAUGGGGUGCCGACAUCAAUUAUUUCUGAUCGAGAUCCGAGGUUUACUUCGAGAUUUUGGAAUAAACUACAGGAAGCUUUAAGUACUAAGUUAAAAUUUAGUACAGCUUUUCACCCUCAGACAGAUGGACAAUCAGAGCGAGUGAUUCAGAUUUUGGAAGAUAUGUUAAGGUGUUGUAUACUCGAGUUCAGUGGCAGCUGGGAAAGGUACUUACCUUUAGCUGAAUUUGCUUAUAAUAACAGUUAUCAAGCUAGUAUCAAAAUGGCACCGUUUGAAGCUCCGUAUGGAAGGAAGUGCAGAACCCCGUUGUAUUGGUCAGAAUUAAGUGAAUCGAAAUUAGUCGGAGUGGAUUUAAUUCGGGAAACUGAAGAGAAAGUUCAGAUUAUUCGGGAAAGUUUGAAAGCUGCUUCCGAUCGUCAAAAGUCGUAUGCAGAUUUGAAAAGAAGAGAUAUAGAGUUCAAUGUGGGUGAUCGUGUGUUCUUGAAAGUUUCUUCGUGGAAAAAAAAGUUUUACGGUUUGGUAGAAAAGGAAAGCUUAGUCCACGAUUUAUCGGACCAUACAAAAUCAUUGAGAGGAUCGGUCCGGUAGAUUAUAGAUUGGCCUUGCCUCCAGAACUUGAGAAGAUCCAUAAUGUAUUUCAUGUAUCUAUUUUGAGACGAUAUAGAUCAGACCCUUCACAUGUGAUUCCUCAUACUGAGAUAGAGCUACAAUCAGAUAUGACUUAUUCGGAGGAACUAGUGAAAAUAUUAGCUCGAGAAGUUAAAGAACUACGGAAUAAACGAGUACCGUUAGUAAAAGUGUUAUGGCAUCGACAUGGAUUGGAGGAGGCAACCUGGGAAACAGAGGAGUCAAUGAGAUCACAGUAUCCAAAUCUGUUUUCAGGUAACAAAUUUCGAGGACGAAAUUUUUAAAGGGGGGAGAGUUGUAACGGCCUAAUUUUCAGUGGUGUCGGAAAUGGUGAUUUGAGAUCACUAAAUUCGACAAAUAAUAUUGAACAAGAUAGUAAUUUAAUAUUUAUGAGUCAAAUAAGAAUUUAGAAGAAUUUGUGAAAUGGUGAAAUUAGUGAAUUAAAAGAAUUUAUUAGGUCAAACGGGUUAAAAAUGAGGUAUCGAGACCUAAAAGUUGAAAAUCGAGCUAUAAAUAUUUUUAUAAAUAUUUAUGGAGUGUCAUUGAGUUAGUAUUAAAGUUUCGUUAGAAAAUUUUAACGUUUGGAUGGCUAAUUAAUUAAAAAGGACUAAAUUGCAAAUAGCGCAAAAUUUGUUAAAUUGUGAGUAAAUAGCUUAAGUAUUUAAAAAGAUGGAUUUAAAGAGCAAUUAGACCCAAAGGUUAAUGGCUGGACGGUUUGGGUAUGAAAUAAGCAAGAAAACAAUGUGAACAAGGGGCAAAAUUGGAAAUAGCAUAAAAGUUAAUAGUUAAAUAAUGAUGUAAUUGAAAAAUCUAGACAUUUCUUCAUAUUUUCUCAGCCAAAACGCCAUAGAAGGUCUGGAGAAAGCUGGUUUUUCAUAUUUUUACAUCAUGUGAGUCUAAUUCUUACUUUUCUUGAUAAUUUUUAUGUUUUUAUGACUUUUACAAUUAGGUCCACUUGUAGAAUUCAUUAGUUUUUGAUUUUAUGGGUGAAAUUGGAAGUUACCCUGGAUGUAUAAGGGAAUUUUAUGAUGAAUUAUUAUGAAAUUUAAGUUCUAAUUUCAUAUUAAGGUGAUUUUAUUAAGUGAUUUUGAUAGGAAAUGAUAUUUAGGACCUAAUUGUGAAAAAGUUGUGAAUUGAAGGUUUCUGUUGAAAUUAAGAAUAUAAAAGGUUUUGAAAUAGUUUAUAAUGAUAAAAUAAAGUGUUAAUUGAGAAAAAUUAGUUCAAUUGAUGGGUGAAUUGAGCAGUGACUAAAUUGUGAAAACUGUAAAUUUGGGGGUAAAAGUGCAAUUUUAAAAUUUGAACAGCAUAAAUUGUGAAGUGAAAUAGAAUUGAAAUGGAUGCUAAUGAAGGAAUGAUUUUAUAAUUAUAGAUCAAGAAAACGAACUGAAUCGUGGAAAGGAGAAAAUUCAAGAAUAGUCCCUGAAUUUCUACGACUUUUGCAAAUUAGUCCAGGUAAGUUCAUAUGGCAAAGUUCAAUGUUUUGAUAUGAAAAUCUUAUGAUUGUUAAAGUAUUUUAUUGUUGAUGAAUACUAUCAAUUUGCAUUAACUAAUGAAUAAUGUGUAACUAAAAGUACAAAUUAGUAGGAACAAUGGAUUUGAGUGCUUCUAUUCUGUGACCCUGAUGAAUUGACGAAAAAUAUGUGAUAAGUGUGCCCGUUUAAGACCAUAGCUGGGCUAUGGCAUCGGUGCAAUGUGAUAAUGUGACUCCGUAUAAGACCAUAGCUGGGCUAUGGCAUCGGUAUAAUGUGAUAAUGUGAUUCCGUAUAAGACCAUGUCUGGGAUAUGGCUUCGGUAUGAUAUGUGAACCGUGUAAGACUAUGGCAAGGCUAUGGCUUCGGUGUGUGAUGCGUAACAAUGUGAAAGUCCAUAGUUUACUAUGGCAAUGUGAUAAUGAAGCACUCAAUUCCCUUAUUGUUCCCUAAUUUGACAAUGAAGUAAAUGAGAAAUGGGCCUAAGGGAGUUAAAUUGUGAGUAGCCAUAUGGAAAUUAUUCCAAUGAGUUAUUAAUGAAAUUGUGAUUUGGAGGAUGAAAUAGUUAAACUAAUAGAUAUAUGAUUGUGUACGAUAUUUGAUAUGAUUUGUAUUUAUAUGCCUAUGAGCUUACUAAGCUUCAAUAAGCUUACUUGUGUGUGUUUAAUAUUUUUAUGUAGAUUGACUUGAAGUGAAGUGGGUAGAUCGGAUCAACACAACAGGGCACACUAUUCAGAUCAAUUCUGGUAGUUUUGUUUUAUGUUUAAAGAUUUAUAUGGCAUGUAUAGAGUUUGAAUGAAUUGAAGUAAAGAUGUUAUGAACUAGUUAACAAUAUUUGUACUAAAACAGUUUUUGGUAAGUAGCAGUAGUUUGACUUUGAAAAUUCACCAUAAAUUGUGGAAAUUGAGUUAAGGGCUGGAAAAAAAAUGAGAUUAAAGCCUAAUGAGUCUAGUUUCAUAUAGAGGAAACGGUGCAUGCAAUUGGAUUUUAUGUUAUGAGAUAUUUAAAUUGUGGUGAGACAGAGUCUGAAUGACUUCGAGUUCCCCUGUUCUGAUUUUAGAAAAUCAUUAAAAAUUGCAAAAAAAAUAAUUAUGAGUCAUACUAUAUAUGUAUGGAUUCCUCAUUGGGUCUAUUUUUAAGAGAAACAAACGGCAUGGUUAUUUGAAUUUUGUACAGAGAGAAAUUUGGUUCGUAGUGCACAGGGGUCAAAGUAGCCAAACCCUGAAAUAGGGGAGGAUUUAACUAAUAAACUGUACUAAUUGGACCAACCAAAAAUUAUAAAAAAAAUUGGUAAGUAGAUAUAUGAGUAUAAAUUCGGGGAAAAUUAUCUAAAUUUGGUUAAGUGCUCAAAUAAGUUUAGUAGUGCCUUGUGCUCGACUCCGGCAACGGUCUUGGGUAAGGGGCGUUACAGAUCUUCUCUGUUCCUCUCAGCGAAGAUCAGAUUUGUAGUUUUCAAUUUUGCUACACUGUCCACUGGGGAAUCUGUCUGUAGAAUUGAUUUCCUAGGGUAUGUUUAUGUCAAAUGAUUAGGAUGUCAUGAUCAAUAUAAAUCAAAUGCUCCUAACUAAAUGUAUUAUGACUGACAUUUGUAUGAAUGCAAAAUGUCAUGAGAAUGAUCCCUUUUUACAUGUUUGGCCUGACAUUACUCAUUGUCUGUUAAGGCUAUUGCUUCACUGACAUGGGUCUUCUCGUUCAGCUGAUACUUUUCGAUAGAGAACUCGUAGAAACAAACCCAUUUUUUCGACUGGUUUAUCCCACUAUAACUUCAAGGUUCAGUCCACCGUGCUUCUGGCUUGCACCAUUUUCAAACUCUCCCACUGCAACUCAGGGGAAUAUAAUCUGAUUCCUCUUCAACCAUUCCCCUCGUAAUCCAAGGGUAUAAGAUCUGAACCUUCCUCCAUUAAUUUGAUCUGUCACACCAUUUCUUGGGUGUCAUGAUCAGAUGUGUAUGCCUGAUAUUUGCAUGGAUGCUGAAUAUCAUUUUUCUCUCGAGAAUAAGCCCCAUUUUCAAAAUUGGGUUGACAUUGCUCGUUAUUCGUCGAGGUACCUCUGACAAACAAAAUCCCGAGAAGUGUACUAACUUAGACCCCUCUUUUCAACAUUUCCCGCACUUAGGCUUGGGGAGUUCUGAACAAUAGUCCUGUUUCCAGUUCUUGUAACAUUAGAAGCUUCCAAAGUAAUAUACAAAACCUUUUUUGAGAGAGUAUUAUUAGUCUAUUAAUCGUCAUUUCAAUGCAAAAAAAAUGCUCGAAAGAAAAAAUAAUAUGCUAACAGAAAAUUGUUUAGGAACAUAGCUCAAAAAACGUUAAUCCAAUAUGGCAAAUAUCAUAAGAAGAAAAUUUAUUGAGAUCAUAUCUCAGGAAAAAUAGAGUCAAAAAUAAAUACAAUAUGGGUAAGAUAUGAAACUAGGUGCCCUAGAUAUCACAGUCUGAGCUUCUCUGUACGAACACCUUGAGGCCUAUUUUGAACUCAGCAUGUGUCUAGGAGAUCUAGGGUACUUUGUCGAUGCCCCAAGAUGUAGCAUACCUCUUCUCUGUCAAUUCAGGCAUAGCAAGAAUACUAUCUGCCCUUACCUUCGAUCAAAAUUUGAAUUGCCCUUUUCGGGUUUUCAACUCAAAACCCCAUUGGUCACAGGGUGCCCUUUGCGGGUUUUCACCUUCGCCUCUCCCCAUUUUUUUUUCAAGCGAAGUACUUCUCAAUUGAAUCUGCAUUGACUGGGUUAGGUAAGUUCCCGCCAUCCAUCUCAGCUAAUAUCAACGCUCCUCUAGAAAAGACCUUUUUUACCACAUACGGUCCCUCCCAGUUUGGCAUCCAUUUCCCUCUAAAAUCCUUUUGUAUAGGAAGGAUCUUUUUUAACACCAAGUCCCCUUCAUGGAACACUCUAGGGCGAACCUUCUUAUUGUAAGCUCGCAUCAUUCGCUUCUGAUACACUUGUCCAUGAUGUAUGGAUUUUAGCCUCUUUUCCUCGAUCAAAUUCAACUGAUCAUAUCUGGAUUGGACCCAUUCUGCUUCAUGCAAUUUUAAUUCUGACAACACUCGGAGGGAGGGGAUUUCAACUUCCAUAAACCAAUGAAAAAGGCGUUGCCCCAGUAGAAGUUCUGACAGAUGUACGAUAAGUAAAAAGAGCAAAUGGUAAUUUUUCAUGCCAAUCCCGAUAAGUCUCAACCAUUUUCCCCAUAAUCUUCUUUAUAUUUUUAUUAGCCACCUCAACUGCACCAUUCAUCUUCGGGCAAUAUGGCGAUGAGUUAUGAUGCUUAAUUUUGAACUAACUGCAGACCCCUGCUAUCAUGCUAUUAUUCAAAUUCAACGUGUUUUUUGAUAUGAUCCUUUCUGGCAUGCCAUAUCGACAUAUAAUCUCCUUCUUUAAGAACCUGCUGACUGCUGACUUCGUGACAUUGGUGUAUGAAGCAGCCUCUACCGAUUUGGUGAAAUAAUCAAUGACCACAAAAAUGAAUCGAUAACCGUUAGAGGCUUUUGGCGAAAUUGGCCCAAUGACAUCCAUGCCCCACAUUGAAAAAGGCCAUGGGGAAGUCAUAACAUGAAGCGGGGAAGGAGGCACAUGGAUCUUAUCUGUAACGCCCCUAACUCGAAUCCGUCACCGGAAUAGAGUUACGGAGCAUUACCGGAGUUACCGAUUCAUUUAUCAGAUAUUUCAUUAAUCUGAUAUCUUUUCUUUUCCACGUUCAAGUCUCGUAUUCAAGUUAUCCAGAUCUUUAUAAAGAAAUUUGAUCAUUGUUUUCAUUUAUUUCAUGUUAUAAUACAUUCAACUAAUGCUCUAAACAAAAUUAUCAUUUUACCCCUAAACUUUUAAUUAAUGACGAUUUCAUCCUUAGGUUAAAAUAAAAUAAAAUUAUUGCAAUUUAAUCCUUAUUUCCAGCUGUUAUUCUCACACAAAUUGAUAACAACCUAUGAAUUCUAUAAAAUGUCAGAAUUUUCCAUAAUUUCAACACUUUUCAAUUUAAUCCUUAAAACAUGUUUUUCCCUGAUCUUGAGCUGAAUUAAUAAUUUCGUUCAAUUUUGUAAUUUAAAUAAUAAAAUAAUCCAUUUCAUGCAAGUUGGUCAUUUUUAACAUUUUUUUACAAAAUUGCCCAUAAAAUUUUACUUUUAUUCAAUUUAGUCCAUGAGCCUAAAACAUACAAAUUACCAAUGCUAGCUGAAUAUUCAUACAUAUUUUCCUCCUCCUCCUCUCCAUUCCACAUCCUUAAUAUAUAUAACAUGCAACAAGUAACAUUAUCAAUAAUUUCACUAUUUACUUAUGUAUAUUCAAAACUGUCCAUUUGCGUCAUAGUGACUAAAUUAUUUAUAUCUUAAGCUACAGAACUCGAAAUUAAGAUCCGCUAAUUUUCCCUGAAACUAGACUUACUUAUCUUAUUACCAUAAAAUUUUUAGACCCUUCUUCACUAAGAAUUAAUUAUCUCAUCGUACGAGAUUUGGAUGAUAUUCCCGCUUAUUUCUAUUGAAAAUAGACUCUUUAAGGAUUUUAAACAUAAAAAUUUAAACCCUUAAUUAUUUGUCUCCAAUUUUUGAUGAUUUUCUAAAGUUAGAAUAGGGGAACCCGAAAUCAUUCUGAUAUUAUCUCACAAAACUUAUUAUAUCUCAUGAUUUACAAUUCCAUUGCUUACACCGUUUCUUCUAUAAGAAACUAGACUAAUAAGCUUUAAUUUCAUAUUUUAUUCAUCCUCUAAUUAGAUUUCUACAAUUUUUGGAGAUUUUUCAAAGUUAGACUAUUGCUGCUGUCCAAAACUGUUUUUGUGCAAAAUGUUGAUUUUCAUUCUGCCCCAAAUUUCACAGUUCAUACAAUUCAGUCCUUACUUAAUUAACCCCUCAAUUAAACUAAUUUUCUCAAUUAAUACUUUUCCUAGACAUUAUAAGUUAUUUCAUAACUAUCGAAAUUCAGAAUUUCUACAUAAAACUCUAACUUCAAACUCUUUUACAAUUUAGGUCCCAAACAUUCACUUUCUAUUCAAUUCUUUCAAUAAAAUCAUCAUAUAAACAAUUUAAAGCUCUAAUUCUAUGUCAAAUCAUCAUAUACUUCCAGAACAUAUUCAUAGAAACUUUCAAUUUCUUUCAUAGAAUCAAGAACUAAUGAAUUCAACAAAUGGACCUAGUUGUAAAAGUCACAAAAACACAAAAAUUUCAAGAAAUAAUCAAGAAUUGAACUUACUUGCAGUAAAAAUAUGAAAAAACAGCUUAAGGGAACUCUUCCAUGGUGUUUUUUCUGAUGAGAAUGCAGAAAAAUAAAGAGAAAUCUAGAUAAUUCCACUUUAAUCCUAGCUUUAUUAAGUAAAUUUUGCAAUUUUCCAAUUUUUCCCUUAAUUCCCCUUAUUUUCUUGGUGAUUUCAUGCUCUUGCCAUCCAACCCAAAUAGACCUUGGGUCUAUUUGCCUUUUAAACCCUCUUUCUUUUAUCAUUUAAGCUAUUUAAUCAUUUCCCACAAUUUUGCAUUUGAUAUAAUUUAGUCCUUUUUGUUCAAUUAGCUAUCAGUACUUUAAAAUUUCUUGACGAAACUUUAAUACUAACUUAUUAACACUCCAUAAAUAUUUAUAAAAAUAUUUAUGGCUCGAUUUAAAAUUUUCAAGGUCUCGAUACCUCAUUUUCAAUUUUAAUUAUUUUAAUAUAUAUAUUUUUUAGUACAUUUCACUGUUUCAAAAUUUUUCCUAACUUCACAUUUAACUUAUACUCACUAAAUUAAUAAUAUUUCCUACUCAUUUUUCGGAUUUAGUGAUCUCGAAUCACUGUUCCGACACCACUGAAAAUUAGGCUGUUACAUUAUCCCCAUAAAUUUGGUACUUAUGGCACUUCUUGGCGUAACUGAUGCAAUCUCCCUCCAUCGUAGACCAGUAGGACCCAAAUCUCAUGAUCUGCCUAGCCAUUGUAAACCCAUUGGCGUGCGUUCCACAAACACCUUCAUGGACUUCUUCCAGGAUUUUCUUCGCUUCCACAGCGUCAACGCACCUUAACAGUAUCUGAUCCUUCCUCUUUUUAUACAGGAUCUCUCCGUCUAAGAUAUAGUCAUUAGCGAGCCUUCUCAACAUUCUCUUGUCAUUUUCAGUGGCUUGAUCGGGGUAUUCAUGAUUCUUCACAUAUCGCAGAAUGUCAUGAUACCAAGAAUGGUUAUCUCUCUCCUCUUCUUCGUCUAUAUUGCAGCAAUGAGUUGGAGCAUCACAAAUACUCAUCUGAAUUGGCUUCAUAUCACCUUGUUUAUUUAUUCUGAUCGUAGAAGCUAAUGUAGCCAGGGCAUCGGCCAUCUGAUUUUCAUCACGCGGGAGAUAAAAGAAAGUGACGUCAUCAAACUGCUCAAUUAAUUCCAAAACUAACUUUCGAUAAUUGAUAAGUUUGGGAUCUCUCGUCUCCCAUUCCCCUUUGAACUGAUAGAUCACCAAUGCAGAGUCUCCAUAUACCUCUAGCACCUUGAUUUUACGAUCUAUGGCCUCACGAAUUCCCAUGAUACAUGCCUCAUACUUUUCCAUAUUAUUUGUGCAGUCAAAAUCCAACUUGCAAGUAAACGGAUAAUGAUCUCCAUUCGGGGAUAUCAGAACUGCCCCAAUUCCAUUACCAACGUCAUUUGAUGCUCCAUAAAAAUUCAGUUUCCAAAAAGAAUUUUCGGAUGUGUCUUCCUCGGUAGUUGCCACAUACAUUAAAUCUUCAUUGGGAAAAUUAAGGUUCAGAGGCUCAUAAUCUUUUAAGGCUCUACUGGCCAGAAAAUCUGCUAUGACACUUCCUUUAAUGGCCUUCUAGUUCAUGUAGACUAUGUCAAACUCAGAAAGCAGAAUUUUCCAUCGGGCCAUCCUUCCACUCAACGCAGUUGAUUCCAUCAUGUACUUUAAAGGAUCUAGCUUCGAAAUUAACCACGUCGUAUGGUACAACAUGUACUGCCUUAAUCUCCGAGUGGUCCAAACCAAAACGCAACAUAAAUUUUCAAUUGACGAAUAUCUCAUUUCACACUCAGUGAAUUUUUUACUGAGGUAAUAUAUAGCCUUUUCCUUCCUUCCGGUCUCAUCAUGUUGGCCAAGCACACAUCCCAUUAAUUGUCAAAUACUGUUAAAUACAAUAUUAAUGGCCUAUCAGGACUAGGCGGUGUCAACACUGGAGGGUUGGACAAAUAAUGUUUAACUUUGUCAGAAGCUUUUUGGCACUCAUCAUCCCAUAUACCUGGAUUGUGUUUCUUAAGGAGACGAAAUAUGGGGUCACAUUUCUCUGUUAGUUGUGAAAUAAACCGGGCAAUGUAGUUUAAUCUUCCUAGGAAACCACGAACUUCUUUUUGAGUACGGGGUGGAGGCAGUUCUUGUAUAGCUCUGACUUUGUCCGGGUUAACUAUAAUUCCUUUUUCACUGACAACGAAACCCAGUAAUUUUCCUGACCUGGCUCCAAAAGUACAUUAUGUCGGAUUGAGUUUAAGUUGAAAUUUCCUCAACCUCAGAAAUAACCUCUUUAAGACUUGUAAGUGCUCAUUUUCUGUUCGAGACUUUGCGAUCAUGUCGUCAACGUAAACCUCAAUCUAUUUAUGCAUCAUGUCAUGAAAGAGGGUUACCAUAGCCCUUUGAUGCGUUGCUCCUGCGUUCUUCAAAAAGUUUCCCACAGGGUUAUGAACGUAAUCUUUUCCAUGUUUUCAGGAUGCAUCUUAAUCUGAUUAUACCCCGAGAAUCCAUCCAUAAAAGAGAAUAGUGAGUAGCCUGUCGUAUUAUCUACUAGGGUAUCAAUGUGAGGCAAGGGGAAGACUAGCUUUGUUUAGAUCUCUGUAAUCCACACACAUCCGCACUUUUUCAUCUUUUUUAGGGACGGGGAUAACAUUAGCUACCCAUUCUGGGUAAUUAACCGCUCGUAAGAAGCCAGCAUCAAAUUGCUUCUUGACCUCUUCCCUUAUUUUCACUGCCACAUCGGUUCUCAUCCUUCGGAGCUUCUGCUGUACGGGCUUACACUCCUCCUUUGUAGGGAUACGGUGUACUGCAAUAUCGGGGUUUAAACUUGGCAUAUCUUGAUACGUCCAUGCAAAGACAUCUUUGAACUCUCGUAAUAAUUCGAUAAGGUCUUGUCUUAUUUUCUCAUUAAUGCAAGUGCCAAUUUUCACCUCCUUUCCUUCUUCCAAGGACACGCUCUCAAUUGUCUCCUAGUGAGGCUGAAUCUGUUUCUCUUCCCGUUCUACCAUCCUCAACAAGUCUGGAGAUAAACUAUAAUCCUCGCCAUCUUCAAAAUCCUGAGAUCCCUCUAAGCACAAACCUUGCUAUAAAAGAGAUUCAGGGUCCAUAUCUGGGAACCUGUUGCAAAUAUGAAAGAAUGUCCAAAAAUGAAUCUAAGAAUAGCUUAUUUGUAACAUGACAAUGAAUGAAAAAUAGAACAAGAUAUUUGCUCAAAGAGUGAUGAAAAUGCAUUUCUCUAUUGAAAUAACGAUGUUUAAACAUGAGCCCAUUUCACAAAAGAUUAUUAUUGCUCUAGGCCGAAACAAUAAGUAUGUUCUGAACAUUACUUUGAAUUUCUCAAAAAAUUACAGGAAUCUCUUCUGCAGUCCAAUUGUUCAGCACACUUCCAGGCACAUAAGGGUGAAUUCCCAGUAAGUUUCCUUCUUCCACUUCUUCUCCAAGUAUAGCAUUAAUGCUCAGGCUAUCGAACAUGUCUUCAAAAUAUUCUUCCCUUGUCAUCCCGCUCUCUAGAUAAAUCAUUCCUCCUGACACAAAAGUUUCAGAUAUGUGGGGAAAGCUCAUCGGCUCCCAUUUGAUUUCUGCCCCACUUAAACGUGCUCUUCGUCUCUCUUGUCUCUUCUCUGCUUCCUUCCUUUUUUGUUUUGCAUCUGACUUAUAUCCCAAGCCAAAGUAAUCCCGCUUAUCAGUCAAGACUGGUACCUCGACCAGUCCAUGCAGAUACUUUCCGAAUCCUCUUCUAAGUAAUGCUCCACUUCCAACCAUCAAUUGUAAACCCAUUUUCGUAGCACUAGACACUUUGGGUAUCAGGAUCUUACUUCUCUCCAUACUAAAAGUGGCAUUCACAAACUCCAAUGAACGAAAAGAACACUCCAACGCCUCAUCAUCCUUCUCAAUGUAUGGUGCAUCACUGGUAACAGAUGCAAUAAUGUCCUCUUCCGCGUUAUUGUUAUCAAUCGACCUUCUAUUAUCAACUUCAACUUUUAAUGCAAUGAUGACGGUACUACCCCUACCGCAUGAAUCCAAGGCCUCUCUAAAAGGCAAUUAUAGGAGGGCUUAAUGUCCAUCACUAGGAAAUCUACCUCAUAUGUAUUUGGACCAAUUAAAAGAGGUACUUCGAUCCUUCCUAUCACCUUUCUUUCAGUCUCGUCAAAUGCUAUCACCAUGUUCUGACACGUCUUCAUGUAAGAGAUGUUUAUUGGUAGCUUAUUCAAUGUAGAUAAGGGUAAAACAUUUAGUGCUGACCCAUUAUCAAUUAGAACCCCCAGCACAGUAUAUCCCUUACAACGGGUAGUGAUGUGUAAGGCCUUAGUAGAUCCCCUACCCCCCGAUGGUAUUUCAGCGUCGCUGAAUGAGAUGAAAUUGUCUGCGCUUAUAUUAUUGAUAAGGCAGUCUAGCUUUUUACUGUGAUGUCAUUCGCAACAUAGGUCUCAUUUAACACCUUCAUUAACGCGUUACGGUGUAUCUCUGAGCUUAAAAGCAAGGUCAGUACCGAGAUGCGAGCUGGUUGUUUGUGUAGCAGCUCCACGACACUAUAUUCACUGUGUUUUAGGAAUUUCAAAAAUUUCUUUGCCUCAUUCUCAGCUAUUGGCUCCUUAACAGGUAGCUCCUCCAUUUGCUUCAAUAAAUAUUUCCCUUUUACUAAAUCGGCUUUAGUAUGGAAACCUACAUCCUAGGCUUCUCCUUACGUGUUGACCUGGUUCUUCCCUCCCGGGAUUGUCACAUUACAAUUAUAGCUCCAAGGUACCCUCUUGCUAUCCUUAUAAGGGAAAGCAACGGGUUUCUGUAUCACUAUUCUUGGUGCCAUUUUCAAUCCAACUUCAUUAAUCUUUGGCUGUGAAAUAAUUACUCUUGGGCGAUUAAUCUCACAGUCUUUUCUUAACGACCCUCCUUCCGAGGUGCAUACAUCUCUCUCUUCUACAUAUUCAAAGAAUUCCAGCUCUUUGUUGUCCAUAACUUCCUGUAUUAAGACCCUAAAUUCAUCAUAUUCUUGGAUCUCAUGAUCCUCCUCAACAUGAAACUCACAAUAGUUCCCUAUUUUCUGGGGUCUGUUUCCCGAACUCUGCCUGAUUAACCCCCUCUUCAUUAUUUCCUUCCAAACCUCUCUCAAUGGUGUUCUUACUUCAGCCACAGUCAUUCUAACUCUCUUCCCGGUAUUCUCAAUUACUGCAUUUACCUCCUUGUCAGCAUGAUUGGGUAACAAAUUUUCCCCACCAAAUGACUCAUCGAAUUUUAUGAUGCCCAUUUCAAGGAACUUUUCCACUAACCUCUUAAAUGCGGUGUAAUUUUCUAUCGCAUGUCCUGUGAUUCCCGCAUGGUAUUUGCAUUGGACAUUUUCGUUGUACCACUUGGGAUACGGAGGUUGCAUCGGUUUCAGGUAAACCGGGGAUACAACAUGUGCAUUAAAUAAAGUUUGAUAUGACUCCUUAUACGUUACUGGAAUGGAUGUAAACUGGAGUUUCUCCGUAUUCCGCUUUGUAUCAGACUCUUGCUUUGAUGAGACUUGCUGACUCGCGUUUACUAUUCUCGGUUGAUUCACAGUGAUCGAUUUUGCAUAACUUCUACUUACAUUGUUUACUUCAUUUUCUCUCUUUUGUGGGACCGACUUCUUGGUGCUCUCCCCAGCUUCUAUCUUUCCGCACCUUAUUGCAUUUUCUAUCAUCUCACCGGAUAUUACUAUAUCCGAAAAGCUCUUGGUUGCGCCUCCUAGCAAGUGAUUGAUGAAAGGUGCUUUCAAGGUAUUGAUAAACAACAAGGUCGUUUCCUUCUCAAGCAGUGGCAGUUGAACCUGUGUAGCGAUUUCUCUCAAUCUCUGGGCAUAUUGCCUAAAACUUUCGUUCGGCUUCUUUUCCAUACUUUGUAAAGUGAUUCUAUUAGGCGCUAUAUCUGUCACGUGGCCAUAUUUCUUCAUAAAAGCUUGUGCCAAGUCUUUCCAUGAACUAAUUUGGCCUCGAUUCAACUGGUUAUACCAUUUGGCCGCUACCCCAAUUAGGCUAUCUUGGAAGCAGUGGAUUAAUAACUGAUCAUUAUGGAUAUAUCCUGUCAUCCUUCGACAGAACAUUGUAAUGUGAGCCUCAGGACAACUGGUCCCGUUGUAUUUCUCAAACUCCGGCAUCUUGAACUUUGGAGGAAAUACUAGGUCUGGGACCAGGCUCAGAUCCUUAGCAUCAAUCCCACCAUGAUAAUCAGCAUUCUCCAACGCUUUGAACUUCUCCUCAAGCCACUUGCAACGAUCCUCUAGCUGCUUUGGGAUCUCCAUUCUCGCCUUUUCCACUUCUACUGCCUCAUCGAAAUCGGGGACCGUAGGAUUCGCCAAACUAUCCUCGGGGUUAGAACUUGAGCCUAUUGGGAAAUUCAUCGGGGCUGAAGUACCAGUUUGACACGGAGGUUUAAUGUUAACAGAUACCCUAGGUUGUGGCAUUUGAAUGCCCGCCGGGGUAAAGCCUGGGGGAACAGAAGGGUCCUCAUCAUCGUUUCCAGUACCAAUCAUAGGACUCUUUCCUUUAUUCGAAGCUCCAGCCAAUAUUUGUGCAAAUUGGUUUAUCAUGUUUUUCUGGGAUUCUAACAUCUGAUCUGUCAUAUCUUGUUGUAUUUUGGCUAACUGCUCUUGCAUCUGAAUGCAGUUGCUCUUGCAUUUCCUUCUGCAUCUGUUCCAAUUUCUCUAAUCUUUGGUCCAUGGCUCUCGUUUUCCUUCGCGUAUUAUAGUGGUGCUUAAUCGGUGAACUUUCACGGUUUUUCAGAUUAACUAAAAUAAAUUUUAAUCAAUUAGAGAUCUUUUUAUGAAAGCUAAUGCAUAUGAUAUGAUGUAAAUGCAAAUGCAUGAGAUGAAUGCAAAAAGAAGACGUCGAUUCUGAUUCGAUUCGGAUUCAAUUACAUUUAGAAAACUUUACUUCAAAAAACAAAAUCCCUUACAUAAAACGGAUUACAUAUAUGGCUUAGCCCUAAUGCUCAAAGUCUUCACUUUCCUAAGAAGGGAGGCUAACUCCUACCCUCGUUCUGACGCUAACUCAUAUUUGGCACUCAGCACAUCUGCCUGAACUGCCAGAGUCUGUAAGUAAUCAGCCACUUCUCGUAUUUAGAUUAUAGCUUCGCCCAUGAGGUAAUCUCUAUCCCGGACCUGAUCUUGAGAUCGAUGAAGUUGCUUGCUUAACUGACACUUAUUUGCUUUCAGUCGUUCAAUUCGGAGCACACAAUUCUAAAGUGUAGACUCCAGUUCUUCUACUUUUCCUUUCAAAUCCUCGAUCCUACUUAAGCUGGCCUUUAAUUCAAUCACCGAGUUUCGACUCUGAUGCUGGUGUAGUGCCUUCUCUAACUCAGCUACCCGGGCCCUUAACAUUUCCUUUUCAUUUUGACUAUCAUCCAAGCUUUUCUCUAACCCAACCUCUCGUGCCUUAGUAUCAUGGAACUUCUUCUUCCACUGAUCAGUUUUAGCUUUUUCUUCUUGGAUUUCUUGCAUCCACUGUUCAGACGUUUUACCUAAACCAGCGUUCUUCACUGAUGCACGAUAUCUCUUGUAAUAUUCCUUCAAGCUAGCAAGGUCCUCUUCAACUUUUCUCUUUCCUUUUCUCAAAUUCUCGGCCUCCGACUUUUGAACAUCCACAUCCAGCUUCAAGUACAAUUUUUCCACUUCCAACUGUUCUAUUUUCUUUUCUAACUCCGAACUUUUCUUUUCAAAGUCUUGCUUUAUAAUUUCCAACUCAGAGGGGACCACUCGUAGAUAUUCCUCUAUCGGUCGAGCAUCUUCUAGAUUUGGCCUCAGAAUGUUAUCAUUAACCUUUCUUCUUCGCCAUUCAUUAUACCCAGGGGUCACCAUCGGGUUUACAGUAACUCCUUCCAUCCGGUAGGUUCGGUUUCAAGCAUUACAAAUCUCUCUAACCUUUUUCUUGUAAUUAUCCCCUUUAUAACAAAACUCGCUCUGAGCCAGCCCCUGUGUUGCAGGUAUGAAUUGCCUCGACCUGUAUUGCCUCGAUACAAGAAAAAAGGCAUAACCAAUGCCUCCCAAAAUCCCUAACAAAGGAACCUAAUCAUAAUCUCCACACCGGAAAAGAAUCUCACCGGGAACCAUCCAAGGAGCUCUCCACUCAAUAUCAUCCUCUUGGAGAUUUUGAAGUAUUGCCAUCCAUCUCUCCUAUGAUAUAUCGUCCCUCCUCGGCGUAGCUGCUAUUUCCUUCAAACGAGAGAAAUUUCGGAGGAAGGGUUGAUAAGAGACCUUCUCCAUCUUCCAGAAGUGGCUAUUGAACCAAACUAAUAAAAGCUGUGCACAUCCAAUAAAUCUGCCUUCGCUUGCUCUUCGGCAUGCUUUCAAAGAUCUGAAAGUCUCAGCUAAUAUUGCAGGAACAUGUGUGAUCCCUUUACCAAGUUGGUCAAAUAAAUUGGUAACUGCUUCGUCUAUAUGCCUUAAAGCCUUAGGGAAAACCACCAACCCAUAAACACUCAAAGCAAAGACGUCGACUCUUCUCUUCAUAUCAGGAUGCGUCAGAAUCAGCUCUCUCAAACUUACCCAAGGGAUACACUUCCCAUCACCCUUCUGCUGGACUUGAGCCACAACCCACUGCUCACUUAUCCCAGUAAUAUUUAUCAAUCUCUUGACGAAGGUUGGGACAUUGCCGAUUCUAGAAUAAAUCUUGUCGGUUUGAAACUUCAGACAUCUAAGCAAAGUCGUAUAUUCUUCUAUAGUAGGCGUUAAAUCCAUAUUUCCGAAAGUAAAACAGCUGUAAGUAGAAUUCUAGAAUUGAGCUACGGCUUGGAACAAAUACUUAUCUACCUUAAUAUCAAGAAGAUAAGACAUAUCACCAUAAUUAUAAUAGAAUAACUGCUUCAUCUCACCAUCCCAAUGAAUCCACAUCUCUUUCAGCCCCCUAAGAUCAUUCUGUGCCACACUAAUACGGGUAAAGUCCCAUAACUUCGAUGUAUACCCUUCCACCAAACUGUCACCCUUCUCUAAUUGUGUGUUCUCUGACCAUUUCUGGGUAAACGCAUUAUACUCCACUUUAUUAGAGAAUUCGCUUUCCAUGGCAAAACUUUCUAUUUAGUAACUGAACCAUAAAUCGACACCUUCUUUUAUGGUGAAAAUGAUAUGCAAUCAUUGUUAAAGAAAAAAUAAAAGUAAAUCAGAAUCAAAAAUAAAAAUCAAAGCAAUCAAGCACCUACUUCGGUAACCACUAGGUCUCGGUGUAGUUCUACUUAAGGCAAGCUCCUAAGACGUGCUAUAUGUGGGUUGGUUCUAGAGUAAAGGUACCUGAACCCGCAGAUUCCUCGAUCAUCACUCGUUAUAGGCUCAUACGGACCAAGUUCAGUUCAGGGAAAUACAUUUCCCUAUGACCAUGCGGAGGUGAAAACCUCACGAAGACAUAGGUACAGAUGUAUCCCAGAAGCGAUCCCCUAGCCCAUGCGGAGGUGAAAACCUCACGAAGGCAUAGUUUCUCACUCCCACUUAAGAGAUGCACCCACAACGGUCAUGCAAUAUGAUGCGAAAACAUAUUAAAAAGUAAAUUCAACAAGGACACAGAAGAUGCAAUGUAAAGAUAGUAGAUUUUUAGAAAACCAAAUUUCAAAUUUCGACAAGAAAACAGAAAAUAUCAAUUUACAGCUCGACUCUCUUAUUGUUCCCCAGCGGAGUCGCCAAGCUGUCGAAACCAUUUUUUUAGAAACAGGGAUCGACUUUCAAAAAACAAAAAUUUGGAGUUGCCACCAAUCUUUUUUGUGGUGUGAUUGGGCCACCUUAUAAAACAUUUUGGUCUACAAUUUUUUGUGAAAAAUAGGCUUGGGAGUCAGUUACGUAUGAGGAAGGACUAGCCCCUCCAAUACGCCCAAAAUCGGUACUUUUAUUGAUUAGUUUAUGUCUUAAUGUCGAAAACUAAAGAUUUGAAAAGAUUUUAAAGCACGAUCAUCCUUUUUGAAACAUUUGAGUAAAUUAAACGUGAGUUAAAGACCAUAUCGCUCCAAGGUAAAACGUCACGUCCAGUACGGUAGGACACAACGUUUUUGACCCCCGAUUAUGAGCUUGUCUUUUAUUAAAAAAUUCGUGCACUUUUUUUUAAAAAAAAAGGGUAUUCAGAUAUUUAAAUCAAACGUAAAACCACAAUCCAAAACGGUAGGGCAUGAUUUUUCGAAUUUUUAAAUACAGAACAAUGCCUCCACUUUUCAAAACUUGGAGAAAUUCAAUAAGAAGGAUAUUCGAAUAUUUGAAUCGAACAAAAACCGAAACCCAAUACGGUAGGAUACAAUUUUUUGAGCUUCCAAAUAUCAAAAAUUGCCAUUGUUUAGGAGAAAAUUUAAAGAAGAAAUCGAUUAAGAAGGAUAUUCGAAUACUUAAAUCGAAUAAAAAACGAAACUCAGUACGGUAGGGCACAUUUUUUAAAACGAUUAAGUAUAGAAAAUUGCCUUUAUUAAAAACUAUUUGGGAACAAAAUGUUGAAUAAAAUACUUAAAUCGAAUAAAAAAAAUGAACCCAAUACAGUAGGGCACUUUUUUUUAAAACGAUUAAGUAUAGAAAAUUGUUUUUAUGUUAAAAACAAGUUGAGAAUACAUUAUGGAAUAAAAGAACUAAAACGAUUAAAAUUUGGAGAGGAAAAAAAUUGAUAAAUAAUGAUGGAUGAUAGAAAAAUGACAAUAUGAGAAUCAUGCUAACCGUAUAUUAAUAACAAAAAAAAUAUAGUUUUUAAUAAAUAAUAAAAAAUGGAAACAACAAUAGUCAUAAAUAUGAUAAUAUAAUAAACAUGACAAUAAUAGCAAUAUAUCAAUAGUAUUACUAAAUAUAAUAAUAAUAGUAAAAUUAAAAUAAUAACGAUGCUAAGUUAACAAUAAUGAUAAAUAAUAAAUAAUAAUAAGUAUAAUAAAUUAUAUUUAAAAUAAUUAACUUUUAAUAAAAUAGAUAAAAAAAAUGAAUAUCAUAUAAAGAUAAUUUUAAAAAAAAGUAACCCAAAAUAAUAAUAAUAUACAAUGGUCGUAAAAAAAGAUGAUAAAAAUAAUAUAAUAAGUUAAUGAUAAAUAGCAUUAGAAAGUAAAAAUAAUAUUAAAAAAAAGUAAGGAUAAUAGCAACAAAUAAUAAAGAUAAUAAUAAUUAUAUAUGAAAAAGGUACUCAUAUAAAAAGAUAUAGCAGUGGUAUUUAAUGAUGAUAAAUAAAUAAUUAAGACAAUAAUAAUAUAAAACACCAUAAUAAUGGAAACCAUUUUAAUUAUUAAAAUAAUCAUAAUGAAACAUAAAUACGGGAAUAUUGAAUUAAUUAGCAUAAUAAAUAAGGAAUAAAAGUAAAAAAAAAAACCCUUCAACAACAUUUUCCUUUCAUUUUCCUCAAAAACCAUUUGAAAAGCUCUCUAAAUUCUCUUGCCCCAUCCAAUUCUUCAGCAACUGGACCAGAGCUUCAUCCCCAUCCGUUGUUUUACCGCCGUCGUUGGCCACCACGUGCAGUGGCCGAAGUUAAAAAAGUAAGUUUUUUUUUGUAUUUUUAUUCUUUUUAACAGAUAUACAUAGUAAAGAGUGGUCAAAUCCAAAAAAGAAACGAAAAAAAGAAGAAAAAAGAAAAGAAUCAAAACAACAACCUUGGUAACUUUCGAUUCUACAAAAUUGGCUUGUAUGUUUGCUGUCUUCCCGAUUUGUGUGACCGUCUGAGUUCGAUCUCUGCUUUUAUUACUUUUGGGUAUUUAAAAUCUUGGUAUUUGGUGUUAAAUCUUGUGUUUGUAUUGAAUCCAUCUUUUUUUUGCCUUGUUACAAUCUUUGGCUUUUAUAGCCUUUAUUUUUACAGGUACAAAAAUGAAAUUAUGGCGAACAUGGAGCCAUUGGAGCUGACAUGGGCGAGAGGCGACGUAGGGGAAGCCGACGUGGGCGCGCGAACGUGGAGGACAUGCGUGGGAAGGCUUGCGGCGGCUGCAACAGAAAAGGGUGUUAGGGUUUUUCUUUUUUCUUUUUUUAUUUAGGGUUAAAUAUUUAGGUCUAGGAUUAGUUUAGGGCUUGGGUAAUUUGGGCUUCAAAAUUGGGUUAAUUUUAUUUUGUUUUUGAUUUGAUUUUGGGUCUAUUUUUGGUCUUUGAAGUUUGUUUUUGGUUUAAAAAUUUAGGCUUUAAUGGUAAAUAGGCCCGGGCAAAAAUUGGUACCCACAAUUUACAUAAUAAAAAAAUAAGAUUAUUUCAAUUAAUAAAUAAUAAAUUAUUAAUUUUUCAAUCACACAUAUUUUCUUUAAUAUUUUUAUUUUUAAAAAUCUAUAUAUUUUGAAACUAAACACACCUUUAAUAAUUUACAUUCUCAAUCUCCGACAAUAUUCACCUAACCGUAGCUUAUACACAACAUGCUAUUGAUUUUCUUCUUCUAGAAAGAACAUUUUUUGAACAAUAUUUUUUUAAAUAAAAUAUGAACAUUCGCGGUAAUAAACCUAGACAAUUUUUUGG